GUCGAACGGGCUCUUCGGAGCAAGUGGCGGACGGGUGAGUAACGCGUGAGAAUGUGCCUUGAGGAUGGGGAUAACAAUAGGAAACUAAUGCUAAGACCCAAUGUGCCUUAAGUGGUGAAAAAUGAAAAUUGCCUGAAGAGGAGCUCGCGUCUGAUUAGCUAGUUGGGGUGGUAAAAGCGCACCAAGGCGACGAUCAGUAGCUGGUCUGAGAGGAUGAGCAGCCACACUGGGACUGAGACACGGCCCAGACUCCUACGGGAGGCAGCAGUGGGGAAUUUUCCGCAAUGGGCGAAAGCCUGACGGAGCAAUACCGCGUGAGGGAGGAAGGCUCUUGGGUUGUAAACCUCAAAACUUAGGGAAGAAAAAAAUGACGGUACCUAAUUUAAGCAUCGGCUAACUCCGUGCCAGCAGCCGCGGUAAUACG
rnacentral:rRNA from 1 species